UGGUUAUCUAUUUGUCCUGAAAAGGAGGUA
rnacentral:piRNA from 1 species